rnacentral:tRNA from 1 species
GCCUGGAUGGCUCAGUCGGUUGAGCGUCUGACUUCGGCUCAGGUAGUGAUCUCGCAGUUGGUGAGUUCGAGCCCCGCGUCCGGCU